UUAGUGCAGUGGUUAGCACGAAGUGGAUGUCCUUGAAAAGGUUGAACGCGGGUUUAAUUCCCGCUCAA